rnacentral:tRNA from 1 species
CCGACCUUAGCUCAGUUGGUAGAGCGGAGGACUGUAGUAAGAGAAUAAAUCUUGGAUGCCAUCCUUAGGUCUCUGGUUCUAAUCCGACAAGUCGGA